rnacentral:rRNA from 2 species
GCAACACAAAGUGAAACUGCGAAUGGCUCAUUAUAUAAGUUAUCGUUUAUUUGAUAUUGCCUAUCCUACAUGGAUAACAGUGGUAAUUCUAGAGCUAAUACAUGCUGAAAAUCCCGACUUCGGAAGGGACGUAUUUAUUAGAAUCAGAACCAAUGCCCUUCGGGGUUUUCUGGUGACUCAUGAUAACUCCACAGAUCGCAUGGCCUUGCGCCGGCGAUGGCUCAUUCAAAUUUCUUCCCUAUCAACUUUCGACGGUACGGUCUUGGCCUACCGUGGUUGUAACGGGUGACGGAGGGUUAGGGCUCGACCCCGGAGAAGGAGCCUGAGAAACGGCUACUACAUCCAAGGAAGGCAGCAGGCGCGCAAAUUAUCCAAUCCCGACUCGGGGAGAUAGUGACAAUAAAUACCGAUACAGGGCUCUUUUGGGCCCUGUAAUUGGAAUGAGUACAAUUUAAACCUCUUAACGAGGAACAAUUGGAGGGCAAGUCUGGUGCCAGCAGCCGCGGUAAUUCCAGCUCCAAUAGCGUAUAUUAAAGUUGUUGUGGUUAAAAAGCUCGUAGUCGAACCUCGAGCCUGGCCGGCCGGUCCGCCUCACCGCGUGCACUGGUCUGGCCGGGCUCUUCCCUCUGCGGAACCGCAUGUCCUUCACUGGGCGUGUCGGGGAGGCAGGACUUUUACUUUGAAAAAAUUAGAGUGCUCAAGGCAGGCCAAUGCUCGAAUACAUUAGCAUGGAAUAAUAGAAUAGGACGUUGGUUCUAUUUUGUUGGUUUCUAGGACCGCCGUAAUGAUCAAUAGGGACGGUCGGGGGCAUCAGUAUUCAGCCGUCAGAGGUGAAAUUCUUGGACCGGCUGAAGACUAACUACUGCGAAAGCAUUUGCCAAGGACGUUUUCGCUGAUCAGGAACGAAAGUUAGGGGAUCGAAGACGAUCAGAUACCGUCGUAGUCUUAACCAUAAACUAUGCCGACUAGGGAUCGGGCGGCGUUCUUUCUAGACCCGCUCGGCACCUUUCGAGAAAUCAAAGUGC